CCCGUGUGAUCCCUGUUCUUGCCGCCACGUAGGGACCAUAGAAAACCGGCGAACGUGAUCGCCACUCCGGUACCGCUGCUGGGGUGGGCACGCGGUCUGGUUUCAAGCCAGCAGCCGUGCUGCGGCGGUAACGCCGGUACGGCUGAUGCCGGGUUGUCGGGUGUCCGAAACGUCAGCGCUCCCUUGGCAGCCAGCUGCCCCAGCGCUGGGCACCAGCCCCUUCGCUCCCGGUCAGCCCGUUCUGAGCCAGUCUCCGCUCGUGAUUUCGGUCUCACUUGAACUUUAGUGCUUUUGGCACAGUUCAGCUUGGACACGAGGACGCUUGGGCAGCGCCGGCACGGGCCGGUCACAGAGCACAGCAGACUGGCUGUGGUUUGAGCUCACUCUCCUGCGUGGGAGUGUUAGAAACCAGCCAGCUCCACCGCGGGACUAAUUCUGCGCACAGGCCUGCGUGUGAUUGACGGGCAUGUCAGGAGAAGGGGCUCCCCUCCCGGCUAAAAAAGCAGCACGCUGCUCCGCUGCAGCCUGGCGCCCUGCCCUGCCUGCGGCCUGGCCUCGCUGGCAGUCGGUGGCCGGGGUGCUGGGUACGGCUGCGACAGACCAGCUCCCGCAGGAGCGCGGCCGGCCGCCUUUUUCCGCUGCACCUUCCCAUGAUCGGAAGGUAUUUGGAGCUUUUCUGUCUAUGCGCCGACAUUUUGCAGGACUGUGGGAGUGGAAACCUGCGCGCUUUGACUGCCCUGGUGUUUACACUGCGAACUGUCAGCAGCUUUCCCCUGCUGACCCAGUGCCAGCGCUGCUGGCGGGGCCGUGCAGCCUGAGCCCAGACGCGGGUGACUUGGCCUCCCUGCCUGACACAGAGCCACAGCCAACGCCAGUGCUUCGGCCGCGGUCAGUGCUCUGGUGCCUGCAGAGGGGGUUCUCGGUGCGGAGCAUCCCGUGCAGACAUUUCUCUCUGCCCUGUGCCACCUGCUCCACUGUGCCUGCAAGCUGUGAUCAGAGCCCAGAGGUUAACCAAGAAACCAGUGUGGGACAGGAAUGGCUUUAACUGGAAUCGAUUCCCUUAUAACAACUGUGCCGCUGUGAAUGUGCAUCUGCAGGAAGGGAUGAGGUGCCUUUUCCAGUCUCGGCCUGUCUUACCCCAGUGCUGCUGGAAGGAGCAGAUCUGUUCAGACUCAGGUAACAAACUAAGUGUUAUUUGCUGUAAUGGGCUCUGCUGUUGACAAUCGGGAAGUUCUGAACCUCUGGAUCAACAGCACAAGGACAUUCAUGGUUGCUGCUGAAAAUGGCUACGAUAAUUGUGAGUUGGCAAUUAUCAACGCUGCUUCUUCCUCAGAUUAAGGGCAUUCUCUGCAUUGCUGCACUUCUUCUGGGUUUGGUGGACCUGGAGGUCUGUGCUUUUCUUCACGUAGCAGCUCUCCAUGUUCAUUUUGGCCUUCAUCUCUUGGAGCUCGUCUUUGAGGUUUGACAUUCAUCAGCCAGACCUUGCAGCUGAAGAUGAAAUACCAAAGUGCUGGCAUUUAAAUGUUUUGAAGCCCACGUAUCUUGUCUCUGAAGCACCAUCACAUUCCUUAGCUGUGUAAACAUGGAAAAAUGCCACAGGAGGAAGCCAGCUCAAUAGUGCUGUGUUUAAAAGCCUCUGCAGCAUGACUCAUUUGGAAAAGGUUUCCUUAUAAGAAGACUUUGGAACAGUUAAAAGGAAAAUCCUUCCCCCUGCAACCCUUGUCGGACAUAGGAAGAGUAAAUUCACAGAAUCAGCUCAGAGGCCUGUCUGCUGCUGUUACCACGCGGUGCCAUAGGAGUCUGCCCCACAGAUGCUGUCUGGCUGCAAAAGCAACUGCAUUUAGCUGGAGAGGGUAUGUGUGCUCCUGUAUUUUCAUUUACUUUGAUUUAUCUGUCUUGCAAGUGUCACCUAGAUCUCUCAGCUCUUCCACGUCAGUUAGUAUUUACAGUCACUUAAAAUACAGCUAGUUACAAAAAUAGCCAACAGGCGUAAACAGUCGGAGGAAUUUCUCCAGCAGCUGGAUAAACACCCUGCUACCAGCAGCGCACCCAGUGCUCGCCAUUUGGCAAGCACCGGGAGGCGGCAGGGAAAUGGGUGCUGUGCUCUAUGCAGGCAGGAUCGUGCGGGCAGGGCGCCCUGCUGCCUGCCUCCUGGCUUCCACACCGAGUGUGUAUGAGCUCAGGUCUCUCCCCUGGCAGCUGCAAUAUCUCAGCUUGCAAAGCCUAAAGAUACGCUUCGAUCUACACACCUGCUGCAGCCUGGACUUGCUCCCCCCGAAACCACAACGUGCAGCCCUACAGACACUUCAAUAAGGCCGUAAGCGCAUUUCUGUCCCAGCUGCCAGAACAUCCCCAUGCUGCACACCCCCUAGAAAUGCCUCAGCGAAAAGGACAGCAGGCCUGGAAGGCCACCCGGUUUGACACCAUGGCUUCUGCAGCCCUCCACUAGCUCGCCUCCGAUCCCCAAAACUGAGGGGGCAAGCCGUGUGAGGGGCAGUUUGCUGGCAGAGGGAGCAGACCUGAGGACAGCAGUGCUCUUGUCAAAAGUCCUGUCCCUCUGGAGCCGGGUUUGGAUCUAGCGCACCAGCUCUGGGUCCUGCUGAGCUGCCCUGGGGCUGUGCCAGCAGUGGAAUGAAGUCACCCAGGAGCUCAGGACUAUCACAAACCUUGUGCCUUCUAGUGUAAUCGCCUAGUGCAUUUUUCCACUGGAAACCACUCCACCAGUGAGUGCAUGUUUAAAACAUUCCCCCAGAACACUUCUUUGAUGCCUUUGUCCUCCUGGCAGAGAUAACAGAAGUGACAUGAUGGAUUUUUGUCGCGCUACUAAAAGCACCAUCGAGCGGUGCAGUGAUACAGCUGAGCUGGGUGUGUUAUGACAGCCUACAUAAAAUAAAAGUUACAAACCUGUUUUCACUGGUA